GACGAACGCUGGCGGCGUGCUUAACACAUGCAAGUCGAACGGAAAGGCCCUGCUUUUGUGGGGUGCUCGAGUGGCGAACGGGUGAGUAACACGUGAGUAACCUGCCCUUGACUUUGGGAUAACUUCAGGAAACUGGGGCUAAUAACGGAUAGGAGCUCCUGCUGCAUGGUGGGGGUGGGAAAGUUUCGGCGGUUGGGGAUGGACUCGCGGCUUAUCAGCUUGUUGGUGGGGUAGUGGCUUACCAAGGCUUUGACGGGUAGCCGGCCUGAGAGGGUGACCGGCCACAUUGGGACUGAGAUACGGCCCAGACUCCUACGGGAGGCAGCAGUGGGGAAUAUUGCACAAUGGGCGGAAGCCUGAUGCAGUAACGCCGCGUGCGGGAUGACGGCCUUCGGGUUGUAAACCGCUUUCGCCUGUGACGAAGCGUGAGUGACGGUAAUGGGUAAAGAAGCACCGGCUAACUACGUG
rnacentral:rRNA from 1 species